AUUGAUGUAGACACUCUGCGAGCACUAAUUGAAAGCAAAGGUCUGAGUAUAUUGAAGGAUUAUGAAGCUUCAGGAAUGCUUUCAGAGACAUCAAGAAAAGUCCUUGUGAAGAUAGGUGUCAGUGCGUUGGUGGAACAAAGUGGAUUUUACCCUUGUAAUGAUGAGAAGCGGAUGUUGGCAGAAAGUGUAGUAACACUGUUUCCUUCUCUGAAGAUCAAGAUGGGAGAAGAGAAUGAAGGAUUUGAACAUUUCUAUGACCCAGUCUCCCACAGUGGAUUUAUUGAGAUGAGACUUA